GUUUGAGGUUGCACUUUGCAAGAGUAUAACUUCUGAUGUGGAAAGUCUAACGCACAGAAUAUACAUUCAACUCGUUGUGUGAGGAGAAACGCAUUGCAGGAAGAGGUAGGCAAUCCAGCAGUGGCCUGACAAACCCAUGAAGUCAUCCAAGUCCCAGGUUACUCCUAUCUUGCUGCUUUGCCCUUCUAAACAUACAAUUUCCACCUGAAAGUUUGCUUCAUGGUUGCAAGAUGGCCACUGCAACUCUAGCCAUUGUGUCUGCAUUCCAAGCUGGAAGAAAGAGGAAAAGAGAAGAGGAAAGGGGCAGAAGAGCACUUUCCAGAAAUCGACAAGUUGGGUGUCAAGAGACAAUUCUCCACUGGAUAUUUCACAGUUCUGCAGUUAGGUCUUCUGAGCAAAGAACAUGUUUGAACAGCAAAGGCCUUGGAAGCUAGAGAUUUAGAGAUAUGUCUCCCUAAGUGACAUUUGCUUACAUUCCAAGGUGAUGUAUUUAGGGGCCUUUCCUUCCCUUCCUCAGAGAAGAUUUGUUUAUAAUCCUGAAUAAAGAUGCAUCCU